GCCAGAUUACAGGGUGGCUUGGGGCUGGCAUGCUGGGUGGGUCUGGCUCUUUACUCAGCGCCCUUCCCCAGCCUGCCCCAGAUGCAGGGCUUCUCUGCAUCAGAGGCUAUUCUGCAGCCUUGCUGUUUGGGGAGGGGGCAGUUGAGGACGUCACCCACAGUGUUAUUCAUUAGUCUUUUUAAAGGAAUGACACCAUAAUUCCUGCAAAAGGAAGCUCUGGGAAAGGGUUUGUCUUUUCUGAUGUCUGGUAUGAUCUUUUUUCUGACAAUGAGAACUAAGAACAGAAUUGUGUUUUGCUUUUUGCCCUGGCUACCAGGAAGUUUAGCACUAAAUUUAGAGCCAGAUUACAGUGACUAUUUCACCUACGGUUCCAGUUAACUUAUCUCCCCCCAUUUCCUCUAUAUGAUUUCUGAAUUCUGAUUUUUACCUUUAUAUGACUAGGGUGCAGGGGUUUUAUUGUACCCAACCUUCGUUUCCUUUCUUUGAAAUUAGGAGUGGUAAAAAUUAAAAACAAAAGCAAACAGAAUGUAACACCCCCUUCCCUAUGGUCAUUGUCCAUAGAGCCUUGUUUGUGAGAAACUCGAAGAGGUGAAAGUUCUCAGCCAGACCACUCGAUCAGUAGGGCGGGGAGACAACCAGACCUCACCUAGGUGCAGUGCAUUUGCACUUUGUAAUUUAUGGUUUAUACUUUUCACAGGGCUUUGUCAUAUCUUGAGCAAAUUGUCCCAAUUUGUCCUUGAUUUAUUCUUUCAACAAAUACUCUCUGCCCACUUUAUCUAUAUCAUACUAGGCACUAUGGGCGGACAAAUAAAGAUAAAACCCACACUUGUCCUUAGGGAAUUUACAGUUUAAUAGGGAUAUCAGACAUGUUCAUCUAAUUAUAAUACAGAUAAAAAGGGUAAGAGUCUUUUAGAUAAAGUUUAUCAGAGUUGAGAGUAGGCGGAGAUGUGUAUACAGUAGGCAUUUAAGCGGAUUCUUGAAGGAGAGGGAAGGUAUAGAUAUAUGAACCUUAUAACUUGCUAUAUUCCUUGUUUUACAGAGAAUGAGAUCAAUACAGAGAGAGGAAGGAAACGUCUCCACAUUACCCAGGGAGUCUGUCCUAUCUGCCUGCCUCAUAGGAACUUGGAGUCGUUUAAAAGUUUGACCGGGUUAUUCCAACUAGUACCUGACUUCAUUUGUAACCCUGAGUCGCUAAGCUGGAAAAGAAAUCUUCCUCAGUCUAAGGAGCACUCUCGCUGUGCCUGCAAAUGUCAGUAAAAGGAGGUUUUCCCCUGUCAUGAGCUUGCUGGGCUUUUAGCUCAGGGGGCCUGGUUUAAAAACAAACAUCUAACAUUUGUCUUGGACCUUAACCAACUCCACCAAUCUGACGUUCUCUUUAAAGUGCAGUUGUGACACCAAAGUAUGUGGUGAAGAAAAAAAAGGAACAGUCUUCACACAUCACAUCUCUGUCCCUGGCUGCGGCUGAAAGCCCACUUUUAAUGCUGUUGCCUGUGUGGGGCCUGCUUCUGCUGGGGAAGCGGCUUGGGCUGGGGGCAGGUGAGGGCUGAGUGUCAAAGAGAUAGAGUUAAGAAUUCAC
ensembl:lncRNA